UUUUUUUUAUUUUUUUCUUAAGACAGAGUCUCACUCUUUCAUCCAGGCUGGAGUGCGGUGGCGUGAUCUGGGCUCACUGCAAGCUCCACCUCCUGGGUUCAAGUGAUUCUCCUGCCUCAGCCUCCCCAGUAGCUGGUACUAUAGGCGCCCGCCACCACGCCCGGCUAACUUUUUGUAUUUUUAGUAGAGACGGGGUUUCACCGUGUUAGCCAGGACGGUCUCAAUCUCCUAACCUUAUGAUCCGCCCGCCUCGGCCUCCCAAAGUGCUGGGAUUACAGGCGUGAGCCACCACGCCCGGCAAUCACAGAUGUUAACAAUUCUCUCUUCUAGUUCUUGAUUGUCACCAAUGAGAAACAUUGACAAAAGUAGGUGAUAAAAUAUUUAACCCUCCCGGCUGGGCACGGAGGCUCACACCUGUAAUCCAGCAUUUUGGGAGGCAGAGGUGUGUGGAUUACCUGAGGUCGGGAGUUCGAGACCAGCCUGGCCAAUAUGGUGAACCCUGUCUCUACUAAAAAUACAAAAAGAUUAGCAAGGUGUGGUGGCAUGCACCUGUAAUCCCAGCUACUCAGGAGGCUGAGGCACGAAAAUGGCUUGCACCUGAAGGAGGAGGCUGCAGUGAGAUGGUACCACUGAAACCCAGACUGGGAGACAAAGACACUGUCUCAAAAAUAAAUAAAUAGAUAAAUUUUAAAAAAUUUAACCUUCCUUUCUUUAGAAUCUGAAAAUUUCUAAGACUUGAAACUAGAAGUCUUAGCAGUCCAUCUCGUUUUCUAAUGGACAAAUGUAACGUUGAUAAUUGUGAAAAUGUGAAUGGUAUGAAUCCAAAAGACUUUUUUUCAAGUCAUGUGUUUUUAAGUGGCAGGAAAGCUCUAAACUAGGGGUUUCAAAUCCCCAGACCAUGAACCAGUACUGAUCUGUGGCUUGUUAGGAAUGGGGCUGCACAGCAGGAGGUGAGCAGUAGACAAGUGAGCAAAGCUUCAUCUGUAUUUACAGCCGCUCCCCAUCGCUCGCAUGAUCACCUGAGCUCUGCCUCCUGUCAGAUCAGCAGUGGCAUUAGAUUCUCACAGGAGUGUGAACCCUAUUGUGGACUGCAUAUUUAAGGGAUCUAGGUUCUCCUUAUGAGAUUAGAUUCUCCUUAUGAGAAUCUAAUGCCCUAUGAUCUGUACUGUCUCCCAUCACCCCUAGAUGGGACCAUCUAGUUGCAAAAAAGCAAGCUUAGGGCUCCCACUGAUUCUACCUUAUGGUGACUUUUAUAAUUAUUCCAUUAUAUAUUUCAAUGUAAUAAUAAUAAAGUGCACAAUAAAUGUAAUGUGCUUGAAUCAUCCUGAAACCAUUCCCCCCUCAACCCCAGUCCAUGGAAAAAUUGUCUUCCACAAAACUGGUAUCUGGUGCCAAAAAGGUUGGGGACCACUGCUUUAAGCCAUAGGAUGUGUUCAGUAAAGUGGUCUCCCUGCAGCCAGCUUGGAAGCUACAAAAGCCACAGACAAUCCAGUGUGUGUGAGGCUGC
rnacentral:lncRNA from 1 species